ACAUGAAGAGAGUGAAGUGAGGAGUUUCCUGCAGUGUCUGCCUUAUAUCUCACAGCUCAGGGUUUAUCCUGAUAGGUCAGAUCUUCAUGAAGCAGUCAGGUUCUUUGUGAAUCUGUUCUGUGCAGCAGCAGAGAGAGAACAGCAGACAGGAGAGAAGAUACUGGAGCUGUUAUCAUCAGUGUGCACAUAUCAAACAUUCCCUGUUAAUGAGAGAGACAUGGAUGAUGAUGAUUAUCUGGAGUAUCAGUGUGAUUUCCUGCUGGAUCUGUACUCUCAUAUGAAGGACUGUGAGCCUAAAACAGGCUUGAGUGUCCUUCCAUCAUUACAGUCAGUUUUCCAGUCAGCUCCUGCAGUCUGGUCCAUAAAGCUCUCAGAGAGAAAGACCUCCAUCCUCCUGGAAGUGCUGAAACUCCAACCAGAGAAGAAACAA